CGGGGUGCAGCAGGCGCGAAAACUCUACAAUGCAGGCAACUGCGAUAGGGGAACAUCGAGUGAUCCUCAUAUUGGGGGUCUGUCCACCCGCCUAAAAAGCGGGUGUUAGCAAGGGCCGGGCAAGACCGGUGCCAGCCGCCGCGGUAAUACCGGCGGCUCGAGUGGUGGCCGAUAUUAUUGAGUCUAAAGGGUCCGUAGCCGGCUUUGCAAGUCUCUCUGGAAAUCCAGCGGCUUAACCGUUGGUCGUCCGGGGGGUACUACAUUGCUUGGGACUGGGAGAGGUAGGAGGUACUCAGGGGGUAGGAGUGAAAUCCUGUAAUCCUUUGGGGACCACCGGUGGCGAAGGCGUCCUACCAGAACAGGUCCGACGGUGAGGGACGAAAGCUAGGGGCACGAACCGGAUUAGAUACCCGGGUAGUCCUAGCCGUAAACGAUGCUCGCUAGGUGUCACAACAGUCGUGAACUGUUGUGGUGCCGUAGGGAAGCCGUGAAGCGAGCCACUUGGGAAGUACGACCGCAAGGUUGAAACUUAAAGGAAUUGGCGGGGGAGCAC
rnacentral:rRNA from 1 species